rnacentral:lncRNA from 1 species
CCUCUUUCACGUGUCCGUUUGAUGCACGGUUGUCAAGUUGUUUUUUAUUUGUAUUUUUCAGAUAGGCUUGAAUGUAGAAAUUAGAAAACAACAAGAUAAAUGUUACAGAUCCUAUCACAAAGAUCCAUGCCAUGGGACGUGGAAACCCACAGUCGAUAAACAGUAACUGCGAACUAUGUAGUAAAAUUAGUACAAACUGGAUCUAAAAAACAAAUAUACAUACAUAUUACGAGUAUACUUUAUAGAGCCGC